UUGUUGUAGUCCUUCAGUGUUCUCUGUUCGGCUGUCGGUGAAGAUUCUCAGUCUGGAUUCUGUCUUGGGACCUGGGAACAACAACUAACACAUAUCAUCAGCAUCGUUUUUCAGCCUUAACCAGCAACCCUUCUGCCAAACUGGACACCCACAUUCAGGGAGGCCAAAAUACACGGAAUAGCAAAGAGAAUAAAAAAAAAAAACCCAAAACUUCGACAUGUCCUGCAUUUCUUAGAGAUUUUCAUUUUUAUAUUCAAAAUUUAAAAAUUCCUUUUUGACAUUUUGAUAGUUUGAUAGUUGAUCAUUUUAGGGAUAAAGCCCCCCUGAAAAGAGUCUAGAGCCUCCCCUGGUUUCAACCUACUAAGAAACUAAUCAAGUUCCUAUGAGUCAUAUUCCAAACAGUGUUACAUAAUGUUUUGUUGCAGGUCAAAUAAUUACACUUAACUGAAAAAUCAACUAGUACAGCUAAGGUAUUGUACAAUGUUUUAUUUCAUACUUUUAUUCUGGUCCUGUGCCAUGUCUAUUAAAAACAAACCCCUGGGUUUUUAUUCUAACUUGGUUAUAUAGGAAAUUAAAACAUCCACCAUAAGGUGUGGUCGCAUUAAUUAGUUUUCCUGUGGUAAGGCAUGAACACAACUUUUUCUUCGUUUAGAAACGUAUAUACACAUUACACAAGAGCUGGGACACAUAGUGGUAGUGUGGUAGUUGCAGCAGUAGUAGGAGCACCAUAACAUGUUGUUGUGCUGCUUCUUCUAGAGUUUUAUGCCCUAAUAAUUAAUAGUAAUUUUAAAACCUGACAGUAAGUUGUUAUAAUUUGCCCAGUGCUAUCUGGGUCUACAUGGUGCUGCUCUUAUCUUAUUUGUGUUGUGGAUCGAGAGUCAAACAUUAACUAUGGCCCAAAACAAAUACAAAGCCCAUUUGCGCUCAACUUCCAGUGAAUGUCUUGGUUUUGUGCAACUACACGUAGCUCCUGACACGCCAGCUUAUUCAGCUGUUGGCUAAUUAUCCAACGAUUUAAAGAGGAAGCAGCUAAACAGCACUCUCAGAACACGUGGGAUACACGAUUUGUGAGUCUUUCCAAAUUUUGCGCACAGAAAUAUCUGCUGGAUACAGAAUGAUUUUUGAAUCUUAGAGCUUUUCCUUUUUUAAACUGAAUGGACAAAAGAUGGAGGUUGGAAGACCACAACUGAGCAGCAC
rnacentral:lncRNA from 1 species